AUUGAACGCUGGCGGCAUGCCUUACACAUGCAAGUCGAACGGCAGCACGGGAGCAAUCCUGGUGGCGAGUGGCGAACGGGUGAGUAAUAUAUCGGAACGUGCCCAGUCGUGGGGGAUAACGCAGCGAAAGCUGUGCUAAUACCGCAUACGAUCUAAGGAUGAAAGCGGGGGAUCGCAAGACCUCGCGCGAUUGGAGCGGCCGAUAUCAGAUUAGCUAGUUGGUGGGGUAAAGGCCCACCAAGGCGACGAUCUGUAGCUGGUCUGAGAGGACGACCAGCCGCACUGGAACUGAGACACGGUCCAGACUCCUACGGGAGGCAGCAGUGGGGAAUUUUGGACAAUGGGCGCAAGCCUGAUCCAGCAAUGCCGCGUGCAGGAUGAAGGCCUUCGGGUUGUAAACUGCUUUUGUACGGAACGAAACGGCCCUUUCUAAUACAGGGGGCUAAUGACGGUACCGUAAGAAUAAGCACCGGCUAACUACGUGCCAGCCGCCGCAGUAAAAC
rnacentral:rRNA from 1 species